rnacentral:rRNA from 1 species
ACGUAACUGAAAGAAGAGAAUAAAAUAAUGAAAGUUAUUGUAAUACUCUAUAAAUUCUCCUAAUAAAAGGACAAAAAAAAAUUAUCGCUUUUAGAUCGGCUAAUAUCAGAUUAGUUUGUUGGUGAUAUAAAAGAUUACCAAGACAUUUAUCUGUAGCUGUUCUGGAAGGAAAUACAGCCACACUGGGACUGAGACAAGGCCCAGACUUCUACGGAAGGCAGCAGUGAGGAAUUUUGGACAAUGAGCGCAAGCUUGAUCCAGCAAUACCGCGUGUGUGAUGAAGGUUUAAAUACUGUAAAACACUUUUACCAAUGAAUAAAAAAAUUGAAUGUAAUUGGUGAAUAAGUACUGGCUAAUUACGUGCCAGCAGCCGCGGUAAUACGUAUAGUGCAAGCGUUAAUCAGAUUUAUUAGGCGUAAAGAGUAUGUAGGCGGUUUAUUAUGAAAAAUGUUAAAAAAUAAAGCUUAACUUUAUAAUGCAUUUUUUACUAAUAUUCUCGAGUUUAAAAGAGGAGAGUAGAAUUUUACAUGUAACAGUGAAAUGUAUAAAUAUGUAAAAGAAUACCAAAAGCGAAGGCAACUCUCUGGGUUAAAACUGACGCUGAGAUACGAAAGCGUGGGGAGCAAACAGGAUUAGAUACCCUGGUAGUCCACGCCCUAAACAAUGUCAACUAGUUAUUAGUUUUAGUAACGAAGCUAACGCGUUAAGUUGACCGCCUGGGGACUACGAUCGCAAGAUUAAAACUCAAAGGAAUUGACGGGGACCCGCACAAGUGGUGGAUGAUGUGGAUUAAUUCGAUGCAACACGAAAAACCUUACCUACUCUUGACAUGUAUAGAAUCCUAUUUGAAAAAAUACAAGAACUAUACACAGGUGCUGCAUGGCUGUCGUCAGCUCGUGUCGUGAGAUGUUGGAUUAAGUUUCAAAACGAGCGCAACCCUUAUUUUAAGUUGCUAAAGCACUCUUAAAAUACUGCUGGUUUAAAAAACCAGAGGAAGGAAAGGAUGACGUCAAGUCCUCAUGGCCCUUAUGAGUAGGGCUUCACACGUCAUACAAUGAUUGAUACAAAAAGAAGCAAUUUAUUAAAAAAAAAGCAAACCUAUAAAAUCAAUCUCAGUUCGAAUUGUACUCUGAAACUCGGGUACAUGAAGUAGGAAUCACUAGUAAUCGCAGAUCAGAAUGCUGCGGUGAAUAUGUUCUCGGGUCUUGUACACACCGCCCGUCACACC